rnacentral:rRNA from 1 species
UUGGGCUUGGUUGGGUUGGCAGGUGACUCACUGGUCCAUUCUGUGGGCUAUGAGUGUUACUAGCCGGCUAUAGUGGAUCUGUACGGUGUGUCGGAGAUGGCGGCUUUGCAUACGUGCUCUGUCCUUCAGGCGUGGUCGAGUCUGGUCGACUUGUUGCCAGUUUCGGCUGGUCAGUUGAUGGCUUGGUCAUGUUCAGUUGGCAGUGGUGUGUGUGUCUUAGUUUGGGCCAAUAGUCUGUGGUGUUGUGGUAGACUAUCCACCUGACCCGUCUUGAAACACGGACCAAGGA